UUUUAAAUUUUUAGUAUAGACGGGGUUUCACCAUGUUGGCCAGGCUGGUCUCGAACUCCUGAUCUCAAGUGAUCCAACAACCUCGGCCUCCCAAAAUGCUAGGAUUACAAGCGUGAGCCACCGCGCCCAGCCCUAAACUACCAAAUCUUAAUAAAGAAGAAACAGAUCUCCUGAAUAGCCUCUAUCUAUUGAAGAAAUUGCAUGUAAAGUUUAAAACCUUCUCACAAAGAAAACUCUAGACCCAGAUAGUUUCAUUGGUGUAUUCUACCAAACAUUCAAGGAAGAGACAAUACCAAUCUAUACAUACCGUUCCACAAUACAGAAGAGAAGGGAAUACGGAAACUGUUCACUUUCUACCAGUUCCAUCGCCCUCCUUCUCCUCUUGCCUCCACCUCCAUGAUUGGGAGUUCCUGUGCAUGUGUACAGGUACCCCAGACCGCAGGCCCAUGCUUCAGGCACAGCCCCUGCAAACAACCACCACACCCCCAGGGCCAAGGGGUGAGCCCACCAGUGGCUUUGAAAAUGGGAAGCUUACCUGGUGCUGUUCCAUUCUUCCAAAGCUCAACACCCCACAAGAAUCCACCUGCUCUCGGUUACACUAAAACACCUGCAAGUACUUGUUUUUUAUAUUUCGUCCAGAUUUGAUCAUUGUUAUCUUUAGAAGAGUGACCUGUUUUUUGCAUCACAGAAUCUAACUUGGUUGUGAGAUGCCCUUGUCACCAGCCUGGUUGUUCUAUUCCCAAGAUGGCACACAACAGAAAUACAUAUUGCUUCUCAAGUGAUGAGGUGGUUCUGCCUAUCUGACUGAGUUAACACAGACCUGCUGAGCCAGUUUUCUGCCAAAUUACCACAAUGAAGAAGAAAUGAGUGUCCAGGACCAUCCAGGUUUGUCUCUCUUCAGAUGUUUUGGAGAUGUGGUUUGAC
rnacentral:lncRNA from 10 species